CUCCUGAAAUGUGCUUUUCAUGCUCCUUGGUUUUGUGUCCCUGCAUCCACUAGUGGAAUCAUAAUUACCUUAAACGUGUCCUGUUUUCAGAAGAUCCCUUUCUGGUCACCAGGUGGCAGCAUGAAUUCUAGUUAGUGCAUUUUUUUCCUAUUUACUCUAACUGGAAAAGAUUAUUUCAUGGCUUUGGAUAUGCAGUAACUGAGCUCGAAGCCUAAUGAGUACUUAAGAGGCAGACCUGAUUUACAAGAACCCCUUAUGCUGACUAUGGAGGUGAGAAUGGCAGCAUUGUCCUACUCCAAUCCUGAUUGAAUUGGGGCCCACCCACAGGCUUGUGUGUGGGUGAACAUAGACACCCUGGCAGCAAAAUCAUCAAACAGGACAGGGUUACAAUUGCAGGCAGCCAAGAUUAUUUCUGGGCCAGGUAGGUAGCCCCCAUGUGAGUUUCCCCGCCACCAUUCACAUCAUGAGGCAAAUAAGCUCAAAUAUCUCCAGUACCAGAAGAGGCAGACCCAUGAUUGGGAAAGUUUGUGAGGAUGGGAAGGGCUUAUGCUCUCUGUGGCUACAGGUAUUUGUGGUAGAUGAAUCAGAGAAUAUGGGAAGGUUAAGGAAGAUGACUUUGUGCAUGAAUUGCGAGCUAGGUGAUGUGGGGAUUAUUGAUUGAUUGUGCUUGAUGUUUUGUGUACAUUUCAAAAAAAAUCCCACCUCCACAGUAAUCACCUGUGCCUAUCAAGGGGCCUAUCAGACUCACCUGCUUCUGUGCAGCAUGGAAUUCCUGAGAUCUGAGCCUGGCACACCUGAGUUAGCAUCCCCUUCUGUGCCUCCAUAAAAUGUGGAUAAUAUUUAACUGCCUCAUAACCAGGUUAUGAGGAUUCAUUAGCUAACAUUUACGUCUAAGAUUCAUAAUACUAUAAAAGUUGCUGAGUAUUUUCCUGGGUGAUGUCAUAUAAGCUUAUCUCUCUCAAGGCGGUGUUAAAUCAAAACUUAGUUUGCUGAAAAAAAUCCAUUUUGUGUAAUGUAGGUCCUGAUUAAUUAUUACUCUCUCUCCUUGUGGAUUUGAUGUCUUUUCACACAAUAUACAUAGAAUCAACCUCUCAUAUUAUGAAAACUAUGUAUUAUGUUGAUCUAUGAUCUCUGAACCUGUCUGAAUUUUCAGUUGCUUAAGUUAGUGAAAUGUGUUCAUUAUGGUACUUGAAAAAUAUUACACUAAUCCUGAAAUUGUCACCUGGUGUAACUUUACAUAAGCACUCCUCACAUAGCAUCUAUACUCGGGCAAUACCAGUGCCUGUGUGCCUUUUUUGCAUGAUAAAUAGUACCCUGAACCAUGCACCAAGUUUGGAGAAUCAGUAAGGGCAACUGAGCCCAUCCAGGCUCUAACACUGUCAUCACUGCAGUUUCCAUUGUAAUUUAUUUUAAAGACGAGAAUCCUUUCGUUUGAACGGUUCCAAGUGCCAGCAGUGGAGGUUGUGCUGUGGACCAUUGGCAAGUUCCUGAGGUGAAGGAGUUAAUUUGUUUGGGGAGGAUGGAAUCUGAGAUUCUAGUACUCCACUGCAGAAUUUGGCUUCCCAAAGGAUGCCGUUUACUUGUUUCUUGAAUGACACUCAUUGCUGAUGUCUUAAUUUUGCCUGAUAAGCCUCUGGUUGUAUCUGUAGUUCCCUGAGUGGAAAAAGUGCACCCAAGUAUGUUAAUUCUCUGUUGCUUCUUUGUCUAGUCUUGUGUGUAAAACUGGAAACACUGACCAUUUAAGAUAUCUUGUUCUUUGAUUACAUUUCUUCUGCAACAGCAUUUCUGAAACACUGAUCCUGUGUGCUUCUGCCUCUAUCUCCUCCCUCUCACGCAUAAAAGCAGUGUGACUCAGCGUGACAGCCACUUAUUAUUUCCGUAUUUAUGGUCCAUUACCGUAGCAUAGCAAAGCAGUCCUGCUAUUUUGGUUAGCCUUUUCCCUGCCAUAUGAAAGAGGUCAUCAGUACCCGAUAGUGCUUCUAAAGUCAUUGUUUUCAUUAAUUAUGGUUUCUUAUAUUGAGUUUACAGCAGGGGGCUCUGUUCAGGAUAUGGGUAUAAUCGUUUAGAAAAGGCAGACUAGAAAUUCCUAUGCAAUUCCCUUGAUACUUUCCCUUCUCGACCAAAGUUAUUCCCAUCACAAGUGCUACCUAUUAGCAACUUCAGCAUCCAUGUUCAUGUCCUAUCUUGUAUCCUUGUGACUCACUGAUGGAUUUUCUCUGUGCCCCCAUUGUAUGUGUUUGUAUAUAGAACUAGAAAAGCUUUCUUUACUAAUCCCCAAAGCGUGUGCGGGAUCACUGCCAGUGUUGUCUACAGUCACAUUUGGCACAGACUUCUCUACCACGUGCCUCAACUCCAUGUCUGUUCAGCAAUUCCAUUGUUUAUGAUGCAUCAUAAAAACCCUAAGAAACUUAACCUAUCUCCCUUGUGGUACAGCUGAUUUGUCUUGGACUGGGACAAGAGGUCUUUUAUACACUGGGUCGGUGGUUCAAGUGCUCAGCUCAGUUAAUGGGGUCUGAACAGCUCACUCUGGAGAACCAGACAAACGUGCUUCCUGGAGACGCUGAGUGUGCAGCCUUGGAGAUGAUACAGGCAUUUCCUAUUCCAGGGAGCCAUGUCAAUACACUAACAUUACAACAUGUGAACAAGUAUCAUUAAACUACAUGCACGGAAAGCCUAGUGCCACAUGCCUUACACCACCGUAUAAUCAACACAUUUUAUAACCCCAGAUAGAUCAUUUGUCCCAUUUCUAGUCAUACAAAUACUCGAUUCCACACUUCGCACUAGAACAUACAGAAUACUGACAUACCUUAAUGCCCCCUGAAAACUGUGCUCCUUUUAAAAUGUCUACUGUGCACUUACUAAGCAAUAUAUUCAGGUCAGCAGUAUACCUCCAGCAGCACACUUCCAUUACAGAACAAAGCAAAGGCCCAGUUGCAUCCGUUGUGUGAACUUAGUGAAUGGUAAAGGAUCAUUAGAUGACAGUGGAGAACCGGCUGCAUUCUUCAAUCGUUCAUCUCCAGACUUGUUACAUUUUUGUCUUUAGAUUUGUGCCCGUGUGUUAUGUGGGUUUUCUGGGCUGCUGCUGGUGGUGGUGGUGGAGUGUUACUGGACAUCAGACAUGCUUUCAACUCAGCAGUUUUUGUUUGUGGAUAAGUUUCUUAUGAUUAAGGCCGUAUAUAGAUGUUCUUCUUUAAAGCCUGUAUUUCUGGAGAGGGUUCAAAGUGGCGGGGGGGAAUUGGCAUGAAAGAGAGAAAACUACAGCUUAAAACUACUGCAGCCUUCACGAUGAUGCCACUCUGCAUUCCUCGUUAGAAAGCUGGGCGCUGAAGCAUAGGUAAACAAACCAAGCUGAAGAAAGUAGACUGCACCUAGACUAACUCUUGAUUUAGUUAGGGAAACAAAUAUGACCUUUUAAGUACCUUUCUGAGUAAGAGAUGGCUUUGUUCUUCCCUUUCAGAAGGAUGCUCACACAUGUUAUGGGAAGGUCAUUUUCCCUGGGACCUAUUCUGUGAUAACUUUUCAAUGAAUGAUGUGCUGGUGUUUGCAUGGUUAGUGUAUGGCUGUUACCUGUUGCUGAAUACCAGGCAGCUGAUGUUAUGGCUGGGAAUCUAGAGAGAGAGGACUUCUGGAAGUGAGGACCUUGCAAUUGUCAUUGAUGUCUGCAAUAUGCGCUACAUGGAGCUACACUUUAAAGCCGUCCAGAAAUGCAAGCUGGCGCAGAAUGAAGCACACACUUGGAUUGCUAUCCCUACCCACUGAUGCUUUCUAAUGGGAAAUACUAGUUGGUUACUCCCUUGAAAUUCCCAAUCACUCCUGAUGAGGCCAGUGCCACAGUACCAGAUUGGCGCCUCAUAUUAGAGUUGUGUCAUUUGCUCUGCAGAGAACCAAGAGUUCAUUACAAGUAGGUCUUUUGCUAAUGGCAUUUAUUGGCCAGAAAAUAUAAAGAAUGCUUUUUGGGGGUAAAUAAAUGCUUAAUCAGAAAGCCCAAUUUCCUUUUUAUUUGUAUUUAUUUUGGAUACUUCAUGCUCACGAGGCACACACUGCAGCCUUGAAGUCAUGUAGAUAAGCAUGAAGCUAACAUAGAGAAGCUGAAACAUGUCAGGCUAUUUUGAAUUAAAUGAAUAUUUGCCAAUUUUUUCUGCUCCGAAUUACAGCAGUCAAUACUGAGAAAUCAUGGUUAAAGCAAAAAACUAGAAGCCUUAUUUAACAUUUGGGGAUUUCGAAGGUAACACUUAACUGCCGAUCAGCCCUUCUCUGUGAGUGGGUUCGGGUCAAGGAAGGAGAAGAUAGAUUUAAAAAAUGGUAGGCAAGGAGAUCUUCACUGAACAGGCAGCAGAAGUAUCCUCACUAUGUUAUAUGGCCCACUGAACGCAUGCAUGUUAGAAUUUCACAGAUUCUCACUUUGCCAAUCUGCAAAUAAUUCUCACCCAAAAAACCCCAAGCCUGGUGAUCUCAUCCAUCUUAGCAAAAAAACUUAGAUUAUAGCAAAGUAUUCUAGUGUGGUUCAUAUUAGUACGACUUACUUUUAAAACUAUGCCAUAGGAUCUAUUUAUUUGCACUCUAUUAUUGUUUAUUCAUAUUUACACAAGUAAAAAGAGGCACCUA